rnacentral:tRNA from 1 species
GCGGCAGUAGCUCAGUCGGUAGAGCAUUGGCUUCCCACGCCACGGGUCGCGGGUUCGAGCCCCGUUUGCCGCU